rnacentral:rRNA from 1 species
ACAGCAGUCGCCACGGUAAUACGGAGGGUGCAAGCGUUAAUCGGAAUUACUGGGCGUAAAGCGCACGCAGGCGGUCUGACAAGUUAGAUGUGAAAUCCCCGGGCUUAACCUGGGAACUGCAUUUGAAACUGUCAGGCUGGAGUCUUGUAGAGGGGGGUAGAAUUCCAGGUGUAGCGGUGAAAUGCGUAGAGAUCUGGAGGAAUACCGGUGGCGAAGGCGGCCCCCUGGACAAAGACUGACGCUCAGGUGCGAAAGCGUGGGGAGCAAACAGGAUUAGAUACCCGCGUAGUCCCUGUCUCUUAUAC